CGUAAUGAUCCCGGGAGUCAGUUCUAUGUUUAUCUAUUUCUUCCUGUUACUGCAUCAUUACUGUCCCCUCUUAGGGAGAGUUCCAUUGUGGAGGUGUCCAUCGCACUGACAGGAAUACUGCAUUAGUAACCAAAACAACAGUACCUUACUGAAGGUUAUACUCCCCUGCCACUUGAUAGGCCUACAUGCAUGCCCUGUCCUAGGAGAGUAAUAGUGUGCAAUUUGGGACACAGUCCCAGUCCCACCAUCACCCCGAAGGCAGCCGGCUGAUUUUCCAGCAAGGCUUUAAUGAGAAUCGCAGACAGGAGGAGAGGAAACGUAGAGUGUAUUUAUAGAACCGGGAGGAAUGCAACCCCCUAAUUAUUCUUGUCUAUCUACCUCCCCACAGGAUAACCUGCUGCUCACCAUUUACUUCCUGUGUAUGUCCCAAAUGGCACCCUAUUCCCUGUAUAGUGCAUUACGUUUGACGAGGGCCUGAAACAAUUGCACUAUAUAGGGAAAAGGGUGCCAUUUGGGACGCAACCCCUGUUUUUCAACACUGACUUGGUGGAGGGGGGAAAAGUCGCGACAGAAACCGGAAGCAGGCCAAAGAGAAGGACAAUAGAAAAGUGUGUGUAAAUACCAGACUGAGGUACUGUAAAUUGGCUUGGUUUAGGCCAUCCAUACCACCUGUCUUCUAAAACAAAGCAAAGUCGACCUAGUACAUCAGAGGAGAUGAGCAGCAUGGAAAGUUAGUGUAAUCUUCUCCCCUCCAUCCACACACACACAAUAACACAAGAGCAUGUGCUGUCAACCGUUAUGUCACUUUGCAUGCAACGGAGCACUGAAAUCUGUGGUGUAAAAGGUCCAAACAUCAGAGCAAGCUCACAGUUUGUUUGCAUUUCUUCAUAAUGAGGUACGAUGACAGAUUGACCUAUUGAGGGAGGAAAAACACAGGCUGUAUCCCAAAUGGCACCCAAUUCCCUAUAUAGUGCACUACUUUUGCAGUAGAGCCCUAUGGGCCCUGGAUGCACACCCUAUUGAGGAACAGAGCACACAUGCAACUUUAAAUAGAUGGUAGAUGGUCCAUUUAUUCAUACAUAGUAGAGUAUCUGGAGAUCUAAAUUAAAGAUUGUUAUUAUAACAGUAGUCCUAUUCCCCAGGCUAUAGUCUAGCGUUUGGUCCAGACCUGGGUUCAAACACUAUUUGGACUAUUUCAAAUACUUUAGCUGUGCCUGAUUGAACUUGCCUCUUGCAAUGGAACCAAUAGACAUGUCCCAAAUGUUGCAAACCCUGCCCAUCCUUACAAAAAACCACAUGAUUUCACAUGUGGAAAACCACAUGAUUUCACGUGUGACAUUUCCACGUCUUGCACACAACAGUCUGUUGGAACAAUCUGGUCUCAUAGCAUUUUGUAUUAUUCUGAGAUCAUUAGAGAUGAUAUAAACCCUCCUGUCUCAGCCUCCAGUAUUUAUGCUGCAGUCGUUUAUGUGUCGGGGGGCUAGGGUCAGUUUGUUAUAUCUGGAGUACUUCUCCUGUCCUAUUCAGUGUCCUGUGUGAAUUUAAGUGUGUUCUCUCUAAUUCUCUCUUUCUCUCUUUCUUUCUCUCUCUCGGAGGACCUGAGCCCUAGGACCAUGCCUUAGGACUACCUGACAUGAUGACUCCUUGCUGUCCCCAGUCCACCUGGCCGUGCUGCUGCUCCAGUUUCAACUGUUCUGCCUUAUUAUUAUUGGACCAUGCGGGUCAUUUAUGAACAUUUGAACAUCUUGGCCAUGUUCUGUUAUAAUCUCCACCUGGCACAGCCAGAAGAGGAACGGCCACCCCACAUAGCCUGGUUCCUCUCUAGGUUUCUUCCUAGGUUUUGGCCUUUCUAGGGAGUUUUUCCUAGCCACUGUGCUUCUACACCUGCAUUGCUUGAUAUUUGGGGUUUUAGGCUGGGUACCUGUACAGCACUUUGAGAUAUCAGCUGAUGUACGUAGGGCUAUGUAAAUUAAUUUGAUUUGAUUUGAUAACAUUUCAUUGGGUAUGUAUUAAUUUGUGGAUGUUCAUCACCAAUUUUGUAUUAUAUGUUAUGAUCAUUAAGGACAACAACCACCCGAGCCACUGCCUGUUCACCCCGCUAUCAUCCAGAAGGCAAGGUCAGUACAGGUGCAUCAAAACAGGGACCGAGAGGCUGAAAAACAGCUUCUAUCUCAAGGCAAUCAGACAGUUAAACAGCCACCACUAACAUUGAGUGGCUGCUGCCAACAUACUGACUCAACUCCAGCUCACUUCAAUAAUGGAAAUUUAUGGAAAUUGAUGGAAAAAAUGUAUCACUAGCCACUUUAAACAAUGCCACUUAAUAUAAUGUUUACAUACCCUACAUUAUUCAUCUCAUAUGUAUAUACUGUACUCUAUAUCAUCUACUGCAUCUUGCCAUCAUUAUGUAAUACAUGUAUCACUUGCCACUUUAAACUAUGCCACUUAAUAUAAUGUUUACAUACCCUACAUUACUCAUCUCACAUCUAAAUACUGUACUUGAUACCAUCUACUGCAUCUUGCCUAUGCCGUUCUGUACCAUCACUCAUUCAUAUAUCUUUAUGUUCAUAUUCUUUAUCCCUUUACACUUGUGUGUAUAAGGUAGUAGUUGUGGAAUUGUUAGGUUAGAUUACUCGUUGGUUAUUACUGCAUUGUCGGAACUACAAGCACAAGCAUUUCGCUACACUCACAUUAACAUCUGCUAACCAUGUGUAUGUGACAAAUAAAAUUUGAUUUGAUUUGCACUACAAUUCGUAUUAUAUGUUACAAAUUUGCCAAAUGUACAAUAUGUUACAAAUUAGAAAAAUAUACAAUAUAUUACGUAUUUGCAAAAUGUAGUAUAUGUUAUGAAUUCUUGCUAGGUAGCUAGGUAACUAACAUUAGCUAACUGAAUUAGGGGCUAAAUUUAGGAAUUAGGUUAAAUGAUUAAGGUUAGGGGAAUGAUUAGCUAACAUUCUAAGUAGUUGAAAAGUUGCUAAUUAGUCAGUGAUGGGAUUUGAACUCGCAACUGCUGGGCUGCUAGACGUUGGCGUUAUAUGCUAACCCAUCCAGCCUGACUAAACAUUCUACCUUUGCAUUUUCCUUAAAGCAAAUUAAAAAAUCAUCACCUUAUGGUGCAUUUGGCUACAUAUGAGGCAAAACGCAGCAUCAUAGGAUUUUGGAUUUUGGACUAAUGAAACAAAUACCGAAAGAGUUUUUCCUUUAAGUAACCAUCUGUCUUAUGUAACCAUAUCAAACAACAUAUAAAACUAAUUUGAGUGUCCCGGAUUUACAUGUACUAUAUUAUGUCUAAUGUCUAAUCUAUUAGACCAGGCUGAUUGGAAAGAAGACUGAACCAGGUUUUCCUUUUGUAUUUUGCCUAUGUUUAGCUGUAUUCCAUUUUGUUUUAUAAAAAUAGUAUGAUGCAGCCACCACCGUGCUUGAAAAUUUGAAGAGUGCUUACUCAGUGAUGUGUUGUGUUGGAUUUUCCCCAAAUAUAACACUUUGUAUUCAGGACUUAAAAGUUUAUUUCUUUGCCACAUUUUUUUGCAGUAUUACUUAAGUGCCUUGUUGCAAACAGAAUGCAUGUUUUGAAAUAUUUUUUAUUCUGUACAGACUUACUUCUUUUCACUCUUUCAUUUAGGUUAGUAUUGUGGAGUAACUACAAUGUUGUUGAUCCAUCUUCAUUUUUCUCAUAUCACACAUCACGGACAAACUGAAUUGGUCCACCCACACAGACAGCGUGGUGAAGAAGGCGCAGCAGCGCUUCUUCAACCUCAGGAGGCUGAAGAAAUUUGGCUUGUCACCAAAAACACUCACAAACUUUUACAGAUGCACAAUCGAGAGCAUCCUGUCGGGCUGUAUCACUGCCUGGUACGGAAACUUCUCAUCCCACAACCGUAAGUCUCUCCAGAGGGUAGUGAGGUCUGCACAACGCAUCACCGGGGGCAAACUACCUGCCCUCCAGGACACCUACACCACCCGAUGUCACAGGAAGGACAAAAAGAUCAUCAAGGACAACAACCUCCCGAGCCACUGCCUGUUCACCCCGCUAUCAUCAGAAGAAGACCUGAGCCCUAGGACCAUGCCUCAGGACUACCUGGCAUGAUGACUCCUUGCUGUCCCCAGUCCACCUGGCCGUGCUGCUCCAGUUUGAACUGUUCUGUCUGCGGCUAUGGAACCCUGACCUGUUCACCGGACGUGCUACCUGUCCUAGACCUGCUGUUUUCAACUCUCUAGAGAUAGCAGGAGUGGUAGAGAUACUCUUAAUGAUCGGCUAUGAAAAGCCAACUGACAUUUUCUCUUGAGGUGCUGACUUCCUGCACACUCGACAACUACUGUGAUUAUUAUUAUUUGACCAUGCCAUGUUCUGUUAUAAUCUCCACUCAGCACAGCCAGAGUAGGACUGGCCAACACCCAUAGCCUGGUUCCUCUCUAGGUUUCUUCCUAGGUUUUGGCCUUUCUAUGGAGUUUUUCCUAGCCACCAUGCUUCUACUCCUGCAUUGCUUCCUAUUUGGGGUUUUAGGCUGGGUUUCUGUACAGCACUUUGAGAUAUCAGCUGAUGUAAGAAG